AGACCCGAAACCCGGUGAUCUAGCCAUGGGCAGGUUGAAGGUUGGGUAACACUAACUGGAGGACCGAACCGACUAAUGUUGAAAAAUUAGCGGAUGACCUGUGGCUGGGGGUGAAAGGCCAAUCAAACCGGGAGAUAGCUGGUUCUCCCCGAAAGCUAUUUAGGUAGCGCCUCGUGAAUUCAUCUCCGGGGGUAGAGCACUGUUUCGGCUAGGGGGCCAUCCCGGCUUACCAACCCGAUGCAAACUGCGAAUACCGGAGAAUGUUAUCACGGGAGACACACGGCGGGUGCUAACGUCCGUCGUGAAGAGGGAAACAACCCAGACCGCCAGCUAAGGUCCCAAAGUCAUGGUUAAGUGGGAAACGAUGUGGGAAGGCCCAGACAGCCAGGAUGUUGGCUUAGAAGCAGCCAUCAUUUAAAGAAAGCGUAAUAGCUCACUGGUCGAGUCGGCCUGCGCGGAAGAUGUAACGGGGCUAAACCAUGCACCGAAGCUGCGGCAGCGAACGUAUCACCCAAGACAACUUUACGGAGUUGACGAUUGACGGAGCGAAGCGACGUCAAAGCGUUCAUUAAAGUCGAGUUGGCUUAGGGAUACGUUCGUUGGGUAGGGGAGCGUUCUGUAAGCCUGUGAAGGUGUGUCGUGAGGCAUGCUGGAGGUAUCAGAAGUGCGAAUGCUGACAUAAGUAACGAUAAAGCGGGUGAAAAGCCCGCUCGCCGGAAGACCAAGGGUUCCUGUCCAACGUUAAUCGGGGCAGGGUGAGUCGACCCCUAAGGCGAGGCCGAAAGGCGUAGUCGAUGGGAAACGGGUUAAUAUUCCCGUACUUGGUGUUACUGCGAAGGGGGGACGGAGAAGGCUAUGUUGGCCGGGCGACGGUUGUCCCGGUUUAAGCGUGUAGGUGUGUGUUCCAGGUAAAUCCGGUUCACUUUAACACUGAGGCGUGAUGACGAGGCACUACGGUGCU
rnacentral:rRNA from 1 species